rnacentral:rRNA from 1 species
AGUAGGGAAUAUUGGGCAAUGGAUGCAAGUCUGACCCAGCCAUGCCGCGUGGAGGAAGAAGGUCCUCUGGAUUGUAAACUCCUUUUGUCGGGGAAGAAUAGUUCUCUUGCGAGGGAAAGUGACGGUACCCGAUGAAUAAGCCACGGCUAACUACGUGCCAGCAGCCGCGGUAAUACGUAGGUGGCAAGCGUUGUCCGGAUUUAUUGGGUUUAAAGGGUGCGUAGGUGGUUUAAUAAGUCAGUGGUGAAAGCUGGUUGCUCAACAAUCAAGUUGCCAUUGAUACUGUUAGACUUGAGAGAAGUGGAGGUUCAUGGAAUGGAUGGUGUAGCGGUGAAAUGCAUAGAUAUCAUCCAGAACGUCGAUUGCGAAGGCAGUGGGCUGUACUUUUUCUGACACUGAGGCACGAAAGCGUGGGGAUCAAA